rnacentral:rRNA from 1 species
GGAUGAACGCUGGCGGCGUGCUUAACACAUGCAAGUCGAACGAAGCAUUUGCGACAGAUUUUUCGGAAUGAAGUUGCUUAUGACUGAGUGGCGGACGGGUGAGUAACGCGUGGGUAACCUGCCUUGUACUGGGGGAUAGCAGCUGGAAACGGCUGGUAAUACCGCAUAAGCGCACAAUGUUGCAUGACAUGGUGUGAAAAACUCCGGUGGUAUAAGAUGGACCCGCGUCUGAUUAGCUAGUUGGUGAGAUAACAGCCCACCAAGGCGACGAUCAGUAGCCGACCUGAGAGGGUGACCGGCCACAUUGGGACUGAGACACGGCCCAGACUCCUACGGGAGGCAGCAGUGGGGAAUAUUGCACAAUGGAGGAAACUCUGAUGCAGCGACGCCGCGUGAGUGAAGAAGUAAUUCGUUAUGUAAAGCUCUAUCAGCAGGGAAGAUAGUGACGGU